CGAGACACGUGAAACUUGUGGGAAGCAGGGAGGACCACCUCCCAAGGCUAAAUACUACUGAUGACCGAUAGUGAAGCAGUACCGUGAGGGAAAGGUGAAAAGAACCCCGGGAGGGGAGUGAAAUAGAACCUGAAACCGUGUGCCUACAACCGCUCAGAGCCCCUUAUGAGGGUGAUGAGGUGCUUUUUGUAGAACGAGCCAACGAGUUACGGUAUGUAGCAAGGUUAAGUACUUAAGGUACGGAGCCGAAGGGAAACCGAGUCUGAAUAGGGCGACUAGUUGCAUGCCGUAGACCCGAAACCGGGUGACCUAUCCAUGGCCAGGUUGAAGCGAGGGUAAAACCUCGUGGAGGACCGAACCACGUUGCUGUUGAAAAAGCAUGGGAUGAGCUGUGGAUAGCGGAGAAAUUCCAAUCGAACCCGGAGAUAGCUGGUUCUCUCCGAAAUAGCUUUAGGGCUAGCGUCGAGUAUGAGUAGUGGAGGUAGAGCACUGAAUGGGCUAGGGGGCAUAGCGCUUACCGAACCUUAUCAAACUCCGAAUGCCACAUACUUUGAGCUCGGCAGUCAGACUACGAAUGAUAAGAUCCGUGGUCAAAAGGGAAACAGCCCAGAUCGUCAGCUAAGGUCCCAAAGUGUAAGUUAAGUGGGAAAGGAUGUGAGAUUUCUAAGACAACUAGGAUGUUGGCUUAGAAGCAGCCAUUCAUUAAAAGAGUGCGUAAUAGCUCACUAGUCGAGAGAUCUUGCGCCGAAAAUGUAACGGGGCUAAACUUACCACCGAAGCUACGGGCUUGAACUUAGUUCAAGCGGUAGGAGAGCGUCGUAACCGGGCUGAAGUCGUACCGUAAGGAGCGGUGGACUGGUUACGAGUGAGAAUGUUGGCAUCAGUAGCGAGAUGUGGGUGAGAAUCCCACAGGCCGAAAACCUAAGGUUUCCUCAGGAAGGUUCGUCCGCUGAGGGUUAGUCGGGACCUAAGCCGAGGCCGAAAGGCGUAGGUGAUGGACAACUGGUUGAUAUUCCAGUACCACUACCAUCGUUAUUAUCGAUGGCGUGACGCAGGAGGAUAGUGUGUGCUAGCUAUUGGAUGCUAGUCUAAGCGUUUAGGCAGUGAGAGUAGGCAAAUCCGCUCUCAUAAUGCUGAGGCGUGAUGGGGAAGGUUCUACGGAACCGAAGUACAUGAUUCCACGCUGCCAAGAAAAGCGUCUAGAGAGAGAAGUAGUGCCCGUACCGCAAACCGACACAGGUAGGUGAGGAGAGAAUCCUAAGGCCGGCGGAAGAAUUACAGUUAAGGAACUCGGCAAAUUGACCCCGUAAGUUCGCGAGAAGGGGUGCCUACGAGAGUAGGCCGCAGAGAAUAGGCCCAAGCAACUGUUUAGCAAAAACACAGGUCUCUGCUAAAGCGUAAGCUGAUGUAUAGGGGCUGACGCCUGCCCGGUGCUGGAAGGUUAAGGGGAACACUUAGCGCAAGCGAAGGUGUGAACUUAAGCCCCAGUAAACGGCGGCCGUAACUAUAACGGUCCUAAGGUAGCGAAAUUCCUUGUCAGGUAAGUUCUGACCCGCACGAAUGGCGUAAUGACUUGGGCACUGUCUCAACUGUAAAUCCGGCGAAGUUGUAGUGCGAGUGAAGAUGCUCGCUACCCGCGAUUGGACGGAAAGACCCCGUAGAGCUUUACUGUAGCUUAGCAUUGAGUUUUGGUAUUGUCUGUACAGGAUAGGUGGGAGACUAGGAAACCAGGGCGUCAGCCUUGGUGGAGUCAACCUUGGGAUACCACCCUGACAGUACUGAAAUUCUAACUGGCGGCCAUGAAUCUGGUCACAGGACAUUGUUAGGUGGGCAGUUUGACUGGGGCGGUCGCCUCCUAAAAAGUAACGGAGGCGCCCAAAGGUUCCCUCAGAACGGUCGGAAAUCGUUCGAAGAGUGCAAAGGCAGAAGGGAGCCUGACUGCGACACCCACAAGUGGAGCAGGGACGAAAGUCGGGCUUAGUGAUCCGGUGGUACCUCGUGG
rnacentral:rRNA from 1 species